GAUUCUGAGACACGAAUCCAGGCCCUACGGGGUGCAGCAGGCGCGAAAACUUUACAAUGCUGGCAACAGCGAUAAGGGAACCUCGAGUGCCAGGUUACAAAUCUGGCUGUCGAGAUGCCUAAAAAGCAUUUCAUAGCAAGGGCCGGGCAAGACCGGUGCCAGCCGCCGCGGUAACACCGGCGGCUCGAGUGGUAACCGUUAUUAUUGGGUCUAAAGGGUCUGUAGCCGGCCGGAUAAGUCUCUUGAGAAAUCCAGCAGCUCAACUGUUGGGCUUUCAGGAGAUACUGUUCGGCUCGAGGCCGGGAGAGGUGAGAGGUACUUCAGGGGUAGGGGUGAAAUCUUGUAAUCCUUGAAGGACCACCAGUGGCGAAGGCGUCUCACCAGAACGGACCUGACGGCAAGGGACGAAAGCUAGGGGCACGAACCGGAUUAGAUACCCGGGUAGUCCUAGCCGUAAACGAUACUCGCUAGGUGUCGGCCACGGUGCGACCGUUGUCGGUGCCGUAGGGAAGCCGUGAAGCGAGC
rnacentral:rRNA from 1 species